rnacentral:SRP_RNA from 1 species
GUUGGGCGUGGUGCCGCACGUCUGUAAUCCCAGCUACUGGGAGGCUGAGGCAGGAGAAUCACUUGAACUUGGGAGGCAGAGGUUGCAGUGAGCCAAGAUGGCGCCACUGCACUCCAGCCUGGGUGACAGAGAGAGAUUCAGUCUUAA